rnacentral:rRNA from 1 species
CCUACGGGAGGCAGCAGUGGGGGAUAUUGCACAAUGGGGGGAACCCUGAUGCAGCGACGCCGCGUGGGUGAAGAAGCGCCUCGGCGCGUAAAGCCCUGUCAGCAGGGAAGAAAAUGACGGUACCUGAAGAAGAAGCCCCGGCUAACUCCGUGCCAGCAGCCGCGGUAAUACGUAGGGGGCAAGCGUUAUCCGGAUGUACUGGGUGGAAAGGGGGCGCAGACGGCGAUGCAAGCCAGGAGUGAAAGCCCGGGGCCCAACCCCGGGACUGCUCUUGGAACUGCGUGGCUGGAGUGCAGGAGGGGCAGGCGGAAUUCCUGGUGUAGCGGUGAAAUGCGUAGAUAUCAGGAGGAACACCGGUGGCGAAGGCGGCCUGCUGGACUGCAACUGACGUUGAGGCCCGAAAGCGUGGGGAGCAAACAGGAUUAGAUACCCCGGUAGUC